rnacentral:rRNA from 1 species
UCCAGACUCCUACGGGAGGCAGCAGUGAGGAAUAUUGGUCAAUGGGCGGAAGCCUGAACCAGCCAAGUCGCGUGAGGGAAUAAGGCCCUACGGGUCGUAAACCUCUUUUGUCAGGGAGCAACGCCGGCUACGUGUAGCCGGACUGAGAGUACCUGAAGAAAAAGCAUCGGCUAACUCCGUGCCAGCAGCCGCGGUAAUACGGAGGAUGCGAGCGUUAUCCGGAUUUAUUGGGUUUAAAGGGUGCGUAGGCGGAAUGCCAAGUCAGCGGUAAAAUCGGGGGGCUCAACCUCGCUCCGCCGUUGAAACUGGCGUUCUUGAGUGGGCGAGAAGUAUGCGGAAUGCGUGGUGUAGCGGUGAAAUGCAUAGAUAUCACGCAGAACUCCGAUUGCGAAGGCAGCAUACCGGCGCCCAACUGACGCUGAAGCACGAAAGCGUGGGUAUCGAACAGGAUUAGAUACCCUAGUAA